rnacentral:lncRNA from 1 species
AUUAUGACAUAUACUGUAUUUUUAUUAAGUAUUGUCUUUGAUGUAGGUUUUGUGGGCUUCUCUUCAAAACCUUCUCCUAUUUAUGGAGGAUUGAGGUUAAUUUUUACUGAGGGGGUAAAUUGUGGCAUUGUGUUACAUUUUGGUGGUACAUUUAUGGGUUUAAUUGUAUUUUUAAUUUAUUUAGGAGGUAUAUUAGUGAUAUUUGUGUAUAAUACUAUAGCAAUGGCUACUGAGGGGAAUCUCAAUCCUGAGGUUUUGGGGUCUAAUGCUGUUACUCGAGGAGUUUUAUUAAAUGUAUUAUUAGAAUUAUUUAUAAUUAUGUGACUAGCAGGGCAGGGUGAAGUAGUAACUGUUACUGAUUUUUAAAACUUAGAGGUCUGAGUAAUUUUUGAGGGUCAAGAAGUAAGACUUCUUUGUGAAGUUUCUAUAGGAGAAGCUGCAUUAUAUAGCUAUGGUAGCUGGCUAAUGGUAGCGGCUAGUUGAUCUUUAGCAUUUUAUUGUAAUUGAGAUUACUCGAGGGAAA